rnacentral:rRNA from 1 species
UACGUAGGGGGCAAGCGUUGUCCGGAUUUAUUGGGCGUAAAGAGCGUGUAGGCGGCCCUGUAAGUCCGCUGUGAAAGUCAAAGGCUCAACCUUUGAAAGCCGGUGGAUACUGCAGGGCUAGAGUCCGGAAGAGGCGAGUGGAAUUCCUGGUGUAGCGGUGGAAUGCGCAGAUAUCAGGAGGAACACCAAUAGCGAAGGCAGCUCGCUGGGACGGUACUGACGCUAAGGCGCGAAAGCGUGGGGAGCGAACAGG